GACAGAGGUGCCGAGCGUUAGGCGGAAUCACUGGGCUUAAAGCGUGUGUAGGUGGAUGUCUAAGUACCUUGUGAAAUCCCGCGGCUUAACCGUGGAACGGCUCGGUAUACUGGAUGUCUUGAGCCAGCUAGGGGCUACCGGAACAAAUGGUGGAGCGGUGAAAUGCGUAGAUAUCAUUUGGAACGCCAAUGGUGAAAACAGGUAGCUGGGGCUGUGCUGACACUGAGACACGAAAGCCAGGGGAGCGAACGGG
rnacentral:rRNA from 1 species